UUAAAAUCCGCACCACAGGUCAGUUUCUGCUAUGGGUUUUUUUCUGUUACAUGUGACUGAGAAUUGCUGAAAGCUCAUUCACUUUGCUGAUACUAUACAACGUUUCAAAUUUGCCGCACAAAAAUCUACUACAACAAAUCUGCAGCUAAUCUUUCCCAUGUGAACCCUGCCUGAAGCCUUAGGCCUUGUUCACAUUUCUGUGUCCGCUUGGCGUCCGUGAAAAAAUCAGUCCGUGUUUCAUCUGUGAAGAUGUCCUUGUUUUUUUUCUGUGUGUCCGUAUUUUCUUUCCGUGUGUCAUCUGUUUUCAUAGCAUCACUUAUAAAUAGUCUGGGAAACAUGGACAAAACAUGGAUGGCGUCCGUGUUCGGUCCGUGUUUUUUACGGACCCCUAGACUAUAAUGGGGGUGAUGGAUCCGCAAACAAAGACAAAAAUAGAGCAUGCUUACGUUUUAAAAUGCACACAUUAAAAUUAAUGGGUACAUGUGCUGGAGAACAUGGACAGCACACAUCCAUGAAUCACUGAUAUCUGAAUAAGGCCUUAGGGUGCUUCCAUUCUUCCUUUUAUUGCAGCGAGCCAGGCCGCAGGGGCAACACAUGAGUUACGGUGGGCCGAUGGGGGUAGUAGUUAAUUUACUCCCUGGGCCGGCAGUGUAGUGGAGGGAAGGACAGCACUAAAUCCUGCGGGGCAAUCUCUAUUGCAGGGAACACCAGCCAGAUGGUAGUUGAGGUGCCCCUGAUGGUAUAGGUGUUUAAGGUGCUUUGGUGGCUGGGUCCUUGUGUUCGUGAUGCCAGCACCGUAAGUUGCAAAUGUUGAGGGUAGUUGAAAGGAUAGGGAGUCAGUUGUAGUAGAAACAGUUGAACAUUUACUUAAAUGAAAUGUCUUAGGACUGUUGAUACAGUUCAUCAGUACAGUGCACCUAUAUGGCAUAAAGGAUUAUUCAGAAAUUAGUUUAGCUGUAAUCCUUACAACAGGUCUGGCAAUUGUCAGUUGAGGAGUUUUCCUAAUGCUGUUACUUUACAGGCAAAACAAAAGUUCUCUUCUUAGAUAGUUCAGAUUUAAGUCCAAUCUCUGGCACUCAGGUACUUAAUAUAAUGGUUUCCUUACUUUAUAUUGAGCAAUCCAAUAAGGGCGUUCUAACUCAUGGCAGGCAAACUCUGUGCUACAUUAUUUUAUGCAGGAUGCUCUCCUGAAAUAUUCAGGUUCACUAAGGCAUUUAGUGAAAAAGGAUAAUUUUGCGCACUAAUCAUCCAGUGGUGUCCAGGUACUGGUGCUUGUGAAGUCCCUUGGCUAGACUCAGCUCUAAUCUUCACUAGACUUGCUUUAUAUUCGUACAUAGACUCACUUGUCUGUGCUGGACUGCUGUGACUACUUGGUCUGUCCUCUCCCUGCUUGAUCAGGGCCCAGAGGAAAGAAGGCAGCUACAUAUUGGACUGAGCCUGCUCUGCUCCUCCAUACACUUGCUUCUCUUCUCUGUUUUCGUUCUACACACUUCCUCCACACUCUCCUACUACUUCCUUAUUAGCACACCCCAAGUUAUAUAUAAUAUGUGGCGCAAACACCACCUAGGGGCGAAAUAAUAUAAUGACACUGCCAGCCUAAUCUUAGGAAUUACAAUACAUUAAAUACAUUUACAGAAAUUUAAGGGGACCACUUAUACACACAUAAGUGGGACACUGCACUAUACUUGCAUUUUUUUCCUGUAGGGAAAUUUAUUGGAAAACCCAAUAAAGCAUGCUGCAAUUUGAAAAAAGGCCAAUAAACAGUCUUAAAAUGGCUUCAUAAAAGAGAGCAAGAAAAUUGUGGCACUCACCAAUUACUUUUCCACUCGUAGCUUUAUUCCAGGUAAAAUCACAGGAGAUGCGGUCACAGAAGCACAAGGCAACAGCCGUUUUGCACUAAACUAAAGUGCUUUGUCAAGCCUCCCGUUACGCCGUUGAGGGGCAUAGUAAAUACCUUACUCACUCCCCCACGUCAAAGACACACAGGAAAAAGAGUUCUUCUGGGUUCUCCAGCUACAUAUGUAGAUCUGACUGGUUAAAAGGUAGCAGCAUGACAACACACGUGCUGCUAAAGCGUGUUCAUGUGUGUGUGUGGGAGGAAGGUCCUUCUACACUCAUGUGUGAUGAUGACCAUAGAAGGCGUCAUACCAUAUCCAGAGGCAACACAUUCAGACAACAGAACUCUACACAGGCAGGAGAUAUGGGGAUUACACUGAAAGAAUGUGCACAUUUACAAAGUGAAAGUUGGCAGACGCAGCUGUCUUUUUAUUGACAUACAGAAAGAAUACAGCUGAUAAUACAAACUCCCA